rnacentral:rRNA from 1 species
GACGAACGCUGGCGGCGUGCUUAACACAUGCAAGUCGAACGGAAAGGCCCUGCUUUUGUGGGGUGCUCGAGUGGCGAACGGGUGAGUAACACGUGAGUAACCUGCCCUUGACUUUGGGGUAACUUCAGGAAACUGGGGCUAAUACCGGAUAGGAGCUCCUGCUGCAUGGUGGGGGUUGGAAAGUUUCGGCGGUUGGGGAUGGACUCGCGGCUUAUCAGCUUGUUGGUGGGGUAGUGGCUUACCAAGGCUUUGACGGGUAGCCGGCCUGAGAGGGUGACCGGCCACAUUGGGACUGAGAUACGGCCCAGACUCCUACGGGAGGCAGCAGUGGGGAAUAUUGCACAAUGGGCGGAAGCCUGAUGCAGCAACGCCGCGUGCGGGAUGACGGCCCUCGGGUUGUAAACCGCUUUCGCCUGUGACGAAGCGUGAGUGACGGUAAUGGGUAAAGAAGCACCGGCCAACUACGUG